rnacentral:rRNA from 1 species
AGUGAACGCUGGCGGUAGGCCUAACACAUGCAAGUCGAACGGCAGCACAGGAGAGCUUACUCUCUGGGUGGCGAGUGGCGGACGGGUGAGGAAUACAUCGGAAUCUACUCUGUCGUGGGGGAUAACGUAGGGAAACUUACGCUAAUACCGCAUACGACCUACGGGUGAAAGCAGGGGACCUUCGGGCCUUGCGCGAUUGAAUGAGCCGAUGUCGGAUUAGCUAGUUGGCGGGGUAAAGGCCCACCAAGGCGACGAUCCGUAGCUGGUCUGAGGGGGUGAUCAGCCACACUGGAACUGAGACACGGUCCAGACUCCUACGGGAGGCAGCAGUGGGGAAUAUUGGACAAUGGGCGCAAGCCUGAUCCAGCCAUACCGCGUGGGUGAAGAAGGCCUUCGGGUUGUAAAGCCCUUUUGUUGGGAAAGAAAUCCAGCUGGCUAAUACCCGGUUGGGAUGACGGUACCCAAAGAAUAAGCACCGGCUAACUUCGUGCCAGCAGCCGCCGUAA